rnacentral:tRNA from 1 species
GCCGAUGUGGUGGAAUUGGUAGACACGCCACCUUGAGGGGGUGGUGGCCUUAGGCUGUGCCGGUUCGAGUCCGGCCAUCGGUA